UGGUGCUAUGACGUGCAGCUCAGCAGGAGGAUGCUAUGAUGCUAUGAAGUGAAUCUGCAGCAAUGGGCUCCAGCUGUCUACCUGCUGGUCAGCUGGACUUUCACUGACCAGUUUCCCCAUGAAGGAGAGCUACUGGACGCAUGUCACCUGAAGGAGCCCUGCUGGUGCUUAGGUAGCGUUAGCAUCCAGCUAACAACAGGCUCAAACAAACAAAGCCAAACAAGACAGCAGCCUCAUGUUCCUGUUUUUGGGGAUUGCCCAGUUCGGGGUGUAAAGACCAACACAGAAAAAGUGGGGGAAAAACGGGAACCUUUGAUGCUACUAGAUCAGUUUCCUCUGCCAGUACCCAUCUCCAUCAUCGCCACAUCAGCUGGUCCCAAGGUUGCGAGGUUAUCCGAACAUCUGGCCCCUACACCAUGUUCUCUAAGUGGAUGGCCGUCUGCCAGUUGGGCCCAGCUCCGAGUGCUGUAGUGUCAACACUGAAGAGAGAGGGCCAGAGGGGUGAUUGAAGGGGAACAGACAGGAAGUGGACAGGGAGGAGAAUGCUGUGUGCGACAUGAGGCCAGGCUUCUACCCACAGCCUACAUCCACUCACUCAGGCUUCGGGAGCAGGGACCAAAAAUGCAAAUCCAGGGUCCUUUCUCGAGAAGUCAUUAGAAAAGUGACACAUCAAACAACUGGCUCCAAGUGGCAAACCCCAUCUUACAUUAUUGCUACAUCAUUGUUUUCAUAUUUUAAUUUCUGACGCGAUUAUUGUGGCCUUUUUCAA